AUUGAACGCUGGCGGCAUGCUAUACACAUGCAAGUCGAACGGCAGCAUGGGUGCUUGCACCUGAUGGCGAGUGGCGAACGGGUGAGUAAUGUAUCGGAACAUGUCCGGAAGUGGGGGAUAACGUAGCGAAAGUUACGCUAAUACCGCAUAUGCCCUGAGGGGGAAAGGUGGGGAUCGCAAGACCUAUCGCUUUCGGAGUGGCCGAUAUCAGAUUAGCUUGUUGGUGAGGUAAAGGCUCCCCAAGGCGACGGUCUGUAGCUGGGCUGAGAGGACGACCAGCCACACUGGGACUGAGACACGGCCCAGGCUCCUACGGGAGGCAGCAGUGGGUAAGUUUGGACAAUGGGAGCAACCCUGAUCCAGCCAUGCCGCGUGAGUGAAGCAGGCCUUCGGGUUGUAAAGCUCUUUCAUAUGGAAAGAAAUCGCUAUUCCUAAUACGAGUGCUGGAUGACGGUACCGUCAGAAGAAGCACCGGCUAAGUACGUGCCAGCAGCCACGGUAAAAC
rnacentral:rRNA from 1 species